rnacentral:lncRNA from 1 species
CAUUCUAUUUAGGUUCUGAUUUAAUUGGUCUGGAGUGUUGGCUUGGCAUUAAAAAAUUUUUUAACUCCCCAGGCAAUUCUAAUCAGCAGCCACAGCUGAGAACCACUGCUCCAUUAGGUGUAAACCCUGCACCACCUCUAUGGUCAGAUUGGGAUGGAUAGAAGAAAGUGCACCAUGAAGAGGGGAAUGGGAAGCACAAAGUCAGGCAUUGUAAUUUGAAAGGUGAGAGAUCUAGAGAAACCUUAAUUUUGUUACCUACAGAAGAGAAUUGGGAAUCAAAGUCACAGAACUGAAGCAGAGGAGACAGUUGCAGAGCUCAAUCUUCUGUCUUUGACACCAACAUGUCUCAGAAACCAGACUAUCACUAUUUGCAAGAAAUCAGACUAUGGACAGGAGGCACCCAACUGGAAUCCUAACUUAGAUCCUGAAGGAGUAAGUGGCCAGACCUACUCCUCAUCAACAGCUCUUCUUCAGAGGAGGGAGAUGGGAUGUUCCUUAGAGGCAAGAGAGAUAAAUCAUGGAGCA